GAUGAACGCUGGCGGCGUGCCUAAUACAUGCAAGUCGAGCGAACGGACGAGAAGCUUGCUUCUCUGAUGUUAGCGGCGGACGGGUGAGUAACACGUGGAUAACCUACCUAUAAGACUGGGAUAACUUCGGGAAACCGGAGCUAAUACCGGAUAAUAUUUUGAACCGUAUGGUUCAAAAGAGAAAGACGGCCUUGCUGUCACUUCUAGAUGGUUCCGGGCUGCAUUAGCUAGUUGGUAAGUUAACGGCUUACCAAGGCAACGAUGCAUAGCCGACCUGAGAGGGUGAUCGGCCACACUGGAGCUGAGACACGGCCCAGACUCCUACGGGAGGCAGCAGUAGGGAAUCUUCCGCAAUAGGCGGGAGCCUGACGGAGCAACGCCGCGUGAGUGAUGAAGGUCUUCGGAUCGUAAAACUCUGUUAUUAGGGAAGAACAUAUGUGUAAGUAACUGUGCACAUCUUGACGGUACCUAAUCAGAAAGCCACGGCUAACUACGUG
rnacentral:rRNA from 1 species